UACGUAGGGUGCAAGCGUUGUCCGGAAUUAUUGGGCGUAAAGAGCUCGUAGGCGGUCUGUCACGUCGGCUGUGAAAACCCGAGGCUCAACCUCGGGCCUGCAGUCGAUACGGGCAGACUAGAGUUCGGUAGGGGAGACUGGAAUUCCUGGUGUAGCGGUGAAAUGCGCAGAUAUCAGGAGGAACACCGGUGGCGAAGGCGGGUCUCUGGGCCGAUAUUGACGCUGAGGAGCGAAAGCGUGGGGAGCGAACAGG
rnacentral:rRNA from 1 species